rnacentral:snRNA from 1 species
GUGCUCACUUCCCCAACACAUCUUAAAUUGCAAUGAUACAGAGAUUAGCAUGACCCUGCACAAGGAUGACAGGCAAAGUCGUGAAGCGUCCACAUUUUCA